AGAUACUAAGUUUCCUCCAACAAAAAUACAAUAUCCUGUAAUGGAUCUUCUAUCAAUCUUUGAACCUGUCCAAUCUGCAUUUGAAAGCCACUCAAUAUUUAAGUACCCAUGAUUGCUAUAUAAGAGACCACGACCUGGAGCACCCUUUAAAUAACAUAAAAUUUGCCCUAAAACUUCCCAGUGGUUAUCAGUAGGAGAAGACUGUUAGAAUCUCUUAAUUAGUGCAUUAGCU
rnacentral:misc_RNA from 1 species